CCUACGGGAGGCAGCAGUGAGGAAUAUUGGUCAAUGGGCGGGAGCCUGAACCAGCCAAGCCGCGUGAGGGAAGAAGGUACAGCGUAUCGUAAACCUCUUUUGUCAGGGAACAAAGGCGGGGACUAGUCCCCGGAUGAGGGUACCUGAAGACAAAGCAUCGGCUAACUCCGUGCCAGCAGCCGCGGUAAUACGGAGGAUGCGAGCGUUAUCCGGAUUUAUUGGGUUUAAGGGGUGCGCAGGCGGCCUGUUAAGUCAGCGGGAAAAGCCCGGGGCUCAACCCCGGCGAGCCGUUGAAACUGGCGGGCUGGAGUUGGAGAGAAGGACGCGGAAUGCGCGGUGUAGCGGUGAAAUGCUUAGAUAUCGCGCAGAACCCCGAUUGCGAAGGCAGCGUACCGGCUCCACACUGACGCUGAGGCACGAAAGCGUGGGUAUCGAACAGGAUUAGAUACCCGUGUAGUC
rnacentral:rRNA from 1 species